GGCAGCAGUAGGGAAUAUUGCACAAUGGGCGCAACUGAAUGCAGCAACGCCGCGUGCGCGAUGAAGGCCUUCGGGUCGUAAAGCGCUUUUCUGGAGGACGAGCAAGGACGGUACUCCAGGAAGAAGGAUCGGCUAACUACGUGCCAGCAGCCGCGGUAACACGUAGGAUCCGAGCGUUAUCCGAAUUUACUGGGCGUAAAGCGCGUGCAGGCGGUUUGGUAAGUUGGACGUGAAAUCUCCCGGCUCAACUGGGAGGGGUCGUUCAAGACUGCCAGACUAGAGGGCAGUAGAGGGAGGUGGAAUUCCCGGUGUAGUGGUGAAAUGCGUAGAUAUCGGGAGGAACACCAGUGGCGAAAGCGGCCUCCUGGGCUGCACCUGACGCUCAGACGCGAAAGCUAGGGGAGCGAACGGGAUUAGAUACCCCGGUAGUCCUAGCUGUAAACGAUGUGGACUUGGCGUCGGUGGGUUCAAAUCCGCCGGUGCCGCAGCUAACGCGCUAAGUCCACCGCCUGGAGACUACGGCCGCAAGGUUAAAACUCAAAGGAAUUG
rnacentral:rRNA from 1 species